rnacentral:rRNA from 1 species
UACGUAGGGGGCAAGCGUUAUCCGGAUUUACUGGGUGUAAAGGGAGCGUAGACGGCGCGGCAAGUCUGAAGUGAAAGGCAGGGGCUUAACCCCUGAACUGCUUUGGAAACUGCCAUGCUAGAGUGCUGGAGAGGUAAGUGGAAUUCCUAGUGUAGCGGUGAAAUGCGUAGAUAUUAGGAGGAACACCAGUGGCGAAGGCGGCCUGCUGGGCUUUUACUGACGCUGAGGCUCGAAAGUGUGGGGAGCAAACAGG